rnacentral:rRNA from 1 species
AAUGAACGCUGGCGGCAUGCCUAACACAUGCAAGUCGAACGAAGCCUUCGGGCUUAGUGGCGCACGGGUGCGUAACGCGUGGGAAUCUGCCCCUCGGUUCGGAAUAACAGUUAGAAAUGACUGCUAAUACCGGAUAAUGACGUAAGUCCAAAGAUUUAUCGCCGAAGGAUGAGCCCGCGUAGGAUUAGCUAGUUGGUGUGGUAAAGGCGCACCAAGGCGACGAUCCUUAGCUGGUCUGAGAGGAUGAUCAGCCACACUGGGACUGAGACACGGCCCA